UACGUAGGGGGGCAAGCGUUGUCCGGAAUCAUUGGGCGUAAAGAGCGUGUAGGCGGCCUGGUAAGUCCGCUGUGAAAGUCCAGGGCUCAACCCUGGAAUGCCGGUGGAAACUGUCAGGCUCGAGUCCGGAAGAGGAGAGUGGAAUUCCUGGUGUAGCGGUGAAAUGCGCAGAUAUCAGGAAGAACACCCGUGGCUAAGGCGGCUCUCUAGUACGUGACUGACGCUGAGACGCGAAAAGCGUGGGGAGCGAACAGG
rnacentral:rRNA from 1 species